rnacentral:rRNA from 1 species
AUAUAAAGAUUUAUUUAAUUUAGAUUUAAAAUUGUUUUUAAAAUAAAAAAAUUAAUUUUUAGUAUUAUUAUGAAAAAUAUUAUUUAAUUAUAGUGAAUUAGUAUUGUGAAAGAAUAUUUUUUAAUGUAAAAAAGAAUAAUUUAUUUUUAGUACCUUGUGUAUCAGGGUUGAUUAAUUAAAAUUUUUAUUUAAAAAUUUCUCGAAUUUAAAAGAGCUAAAUUAAUAUAUAUUUUAUUGUAAAAUAAAUAUUUUUAAUAUUAAUUUAGAAAUGAAACGUUAUUCGUUUUUAAAUAUAUCUAGUUUUUUUAGAAAAAAAUUUAAUUUUAUUUAAUUAAAUUAAUAAAUUAUCUAUUUAAUUUAUUAUUUAAUUAAUUUAAUAUUUAAGGGGAUGAGCUUUUAAAUAAAUUUUUAAAAAUUUAUUUAUUUAAAAAUAAUAUAUAGGAUUAGAAUUUUCUAUUUUUAGAAUAAUGUUAUAAUUGAUUAUUUAUAUUAUAUUAUUUAUAUAAAUUUUAAGUUUUUUAUAAAAAAUUUUUUUAUAAUUUUUGUUAAAAAGUUAUAAUGAUUAAAUUAGUAUAAUAUUUUGUAUUUUAUAUUAAAGGUUUAAUGUUAAUAUAAGGAAUUCGGCAAAAAAAUUUUUCACCUGUUUAUUAAAAACAUGUCCUUUUGAUAAUAAUUUAAGGUCUAGCCUGCCCAAUGAUAAAUAAUUAAAUGGCCGCAGUAUUUUGACUGUGCAAAGGUAGCAUAAUCAUUAGUUUUUUAAUUGAAAGCUGGAAUGAAUGGUUGGAUGAAAAAAUUUCUGUCUCAUAUUAAAUUUUUUAUAAUUUUAUUUUUAAGUUAAAAAGCUUAAAUUUAAUUAAAAGACGAGAAGACCCUAUAGAGUUUUAUAUUAAAAAUUAAAUAGAUUUUAAGAAUUAAGAUAUUUAUUUUAUUUUUAGUAUUUGAUUGGGGUGAUUGAAAAAUUAAAUAAACUUUUUUUAUAAUACAAUCAUUUAUUUAUGAGUUUUUGAUCCAAAUAUUUUGAUUAAAAGAUUAAAUUACCUUAGGGAUAACAGCGUAAUUUUUUUUGAGAGUUCAAAUCGAAAGAAAAGAUUGCGACCUCGAUGUUGGAUUAAAAUUAAAUUUUGGUGUAGAAGCUAAAAAUUUUAGGUCUGUUCGACCUUUAAAAUUUUACAUGAUCUGAGUUUAAACCGGUGUGAGCCAGGUUGGUUUCUAUCUUUAAUAAUUUAUAAUAUUUUAGUACGAAAGGACCAAAUAUUAAAUUAAAAAUUUAUUUUAAGAAUAAUAUU